GUGCCAUAUAAAGAGGUUAUAGAAACCCAGAAGAUUGUGGUGAUGCGGUUUGAAUUCCUCAUGAAGAAAGGAACUAAAGAGCACUGGUGCUAACAUCCCGCUGUUUAUAAAAUAUCUGGGAUCAGUGAUCCCUCUUCUGCACAAGGAUUUUAUACUAGGAAGGGAGGACGGCAUUGCCAUCUUGCUGAGUUUCCUAACAUGUCUGCACUUUCUCUUCUGCACACAAGGCUCCUGAAGGAAUUAAUGAAGGUUGAUCACAUCUUGUAAACAACACACAUCGCACAGCUGGUGUGCAUACACACAUACACAGUGUCUGGCCUGGGCACUUGCUGUGUGGGAUGCAAAGUGCUGGAUGACUCAGAGAAGACAAAUGGGUGUUUUUAUUUAUCCCUUGCAUCUGUAAUGCAAGAUCAAGAGAUGUUCAAAGAAAACAGACAGAAACAAAUACAAGGCAAACAAAUUUGUGUUGUGUAAGAACGUGCAUGUGUUCUUACACAACAUGUAGUUACCAUCUGUCAGAAGGUAUCAUAAAGACCAUGAGCUCAGCAGGAUUCAAGAAAGAAUUACGCAAUCAGCUGGCUAUUGGGAGUUUCCAGAGAAUUGCAUUAGCCAAGGUAGAAAUAUGGACAGAAGGCUCAAUUCUCUGGCACCAUGACAUAAGGCAAUUACCAUCCACCAAGAGCCCUGACUGGAAACUUUUACCAACAAGAACACUUACUGUGACCAUUGCUCUGUUCUCAGAAUCUGUUUUUAUCUCCUGUUGGGCCAGAAUAGGGGCUGCUGGUUAGAUCCAUUACAAUGAUAUUUGAUGGUGGAGGGGGAGAAUUUCACACACCCCUGAAGGACCUCAGCCACAUAUCAGGUCCUCAUUACCAAAGAAGAUGCAGGAUGUUCUUGAUGAUGAAUGCAGGAGCUGUGCUAGUCUUCACCAGCAGAACAAGUACCCCCAAGGGGCAUGGAGGGAAGCCUGAGCCAGCUGUUCUUGAAGAGAAACUAUCAGUCCUCACCUCCAAUGCACUUCACAGUGCCCUGUGUCUAAAGCAGUGAUGCUGGGCUUACAGAAGGACCAGAAAACAACAGCCUUCUGCAAGUAGGCAGUGGUGCUCCACUCCCUCCUACGGGCUUCAAUCCAACGUGCAUGUCUCAUCUUUUGGGAGGCUGCAGAAGAUUUCUGCAGCUCUCCUGUAGCUCACAAACCACUCAUAAAAACUUGUAAAGCCCAUAAAACUGGAGUAUAGUGGUUUGCUUUUUUUUUUUUUUCCUCUCUUUGUCCUGAAACACUAGCCAAGCAAACAGUAUUUUGACUCAUCUCAUGGCAGUGUAACUCAAGUGUUGCUGGAAUUAAAACAAUGGAAAAAACUGCAAGAACAGCUUCCUUAGCAGGGCUUCUUCCUUAGCCUCGUGAACUCAUAGAGUACUGGAAGCGUUGAUAGUUAUGAGCAGAGCCAUGGCCAGCUCAGGGAAGCGCUGGGAAGGAAGGCCAAGCUGAUGGCACAGGCGUGCCAGAAAAUGCACACUUAGACCUGGGUUUCUACCGACUUGCAGCAACAUGGGGACAAGGCAAUGAGAACAGAGGAAAUAACACGUGUGUAUAUACAUAUUAUGUAUAUUUUAGGUAACACAGCAAAGGUUUGCGGAAAUGAAGUAUGGUCUGAUCAGGGAAGCGUGACUGUAGAAAACCCGCUACCUCAACAGUCUCUACUUGCUGCUAUCAGCGAGAUGUGCUGAAGUUCACCUUUCUGAGAAAGAAAAAAAAAAAAAAAAAAAAAAAGAAGAAAAGGUAUUCCUGCUUGCAAACUAGUCGGUCUUAUUCCAGCAGUCUGGAAACAUAAAUUAAAGCUGUGGAGUACCCAGAAAUGUGCAAUCCCCUACAGUGGCACAUCAUAAAUGUGGAAAGCAGCAUUUGCACCUCUACAAAAGCCAUAGGCAACCUGCUUGGGUCAAUCACAAAGCACAGUCAAUACCAAGUUCGUACUGGGACAUUUUCACAGAGGUAGAAAUAAUGUGCACUGAUAGGGAAAGUGAGGCAAACUGAGCUGGUGGCUAUGUCUCUUGGCUAUUUCUCUUAGAUUUUACACCAAAGCUUACAGAAACAACACAGAAACGUGGAAUUUCUAUACUAAGAGACUGUAAUUGCUUGAAAUAUUAAUUUCUUACAGGGUGAAAGCCAAGGAAAGGCUAAGUGAAGGUGAAUUAAAACCCACUUCUAGAAUUCUUUUGGGAAAGAAAAAAAAUAAAUAUGAAAACAAGUAUAAUUCCAGCUCAGAUGGCUCCUAACAUUUCUACACACUACAAGGUACUUACUCCAUAAAGUGGCUCCUCCCUUCACAACAGCUGCUUGCAUUCAGGGUAAUUGAGGAAAGGCAGAGCAUCCAUCCCCCACGUACAGCAACUCUAGCCUCUUCAGGAAUAUGCUCUCUCCUCAGCUGCAAAGAUCGCUGCACCAAAGGUUUCGGUGCUUAUAAAUCCACGCACACUGCUCAGGGUUCGGCCACCACACAAAAGCAAAUGUAGGAGCCGGGCAGAGGAAGAAAUCCCAUCCACAGACACUCGGGCUUCAGGUGGAGCAGCAGAGCGGUGGCUGGGGAGCCGUCCGGCUAAAAGCUUUCCCUCACGAACCACAGACAUUAAUUACAUCUGUUCUGACUGACAGCCAGGUCCUAGUGUGCCCUCUGUGAUAUUGAAAUUUAAAUGGCUAUCCCUGAAAAUGAUUCAGCGAAGGUCAGGUGCGCCGCUAGCACCAGAUGCAAGCUGGUCAGAGAAUCCUCAACAUCGUGGGCACCGCUGCUGCUCUGCAAGCUGUGUGGACAGCCAUGUGCUUUUGCAUUUAGCUGGCAGUCUCCUGUCCCAGUCACUGUACUGUGCACGUGUGACUCACCUUGCCCCAUGUCUGCCAAACUAAGCGUCUGAGGUCCCUCUGCAGUGCAUUGGAAAGAUGCAAGGAACUGCAAAGGACAAUCAGUUUCACCCCAAGAACAGGCUGUGAGAAAAUAGAGGAGGCAUCCCCAGGAGAGCCACUGCCCCAGCAAACAGUGCUCCAGGAUGGUGUUCAGGAGCUAUGGAGAAAGGCCAGCCCAGGAGCUCCUCUGGUAGGCACGAGCCUGGGUCAUCCUGGAGGACCAAGGCUGCCGGUGUCCUCCUGCUCCAACAUCUUGUAGCCAUGAGGGCUUCAGCUGCUUCAGCUCUCUUUCAGGCUUCCCUGCUCUAAAGGGUUAAGGAGGGACUCAAACAGCUGACAGAAAUGGGCAGAUCUCCUUCAGCCAUGUGGAGAAACUUGCAGGCUUUGGGCUCGUGCUGCCUCUCUAAAGGCAUGUUUCCACUUUGCUGGGAUCUUAAUGGCUUACAUAUGCAGAGCUCUGGCUCCUGAGAGAGCCCAGUGCUCUGCCACUGCUCCUCACAUUGUUAUUUCUACCAUUUCCAUAAACUGCAUGCACAGGGAGUAACUGCAAAUCCCAGUGCAACUCAGCGAUGCCAAUAUCAUUUUUGUGCAGGAAGAGUCUGCAGCUGCCUUCGCCCUGAGCGGGAACAAGUGGUUGGCUUUCACUUGCCUCUUGUCCUGCAUGGCGAGUCUCUCCUGCAAUCCAAGUAAUCACCACCUCUCACGUCCCUGUAUCAGCACUGCAAAUCAGAGAACAUGAACACCGACUGCCUUUUUUGCUGCAAAGAGAGACCAGACCCCUCUGUCACCGAAGAACCAGCCCCAGCCUCUCCAGAAGCCUCCCUUCCUAUUUGGCAGACAACUCACGGACGGCUGCUGGAAACGGCCUGCUUGGGAAUAAACCAGUUUCCAAAAAGCUGUUCUUUUAAAGUAACAGCCACGCUAUUUGAGGUGCUUUUCAUGGAUGCUGCCCAUGCAGAGGAGCUGUGCUGAGCCACCAGGGUCCAUCAUAGGCAGCCCAGAGCCUGCUGGGGAGGGAUCUCACACCAGUAUCCCUGUGGCAGGCAGCAGGGUGAGGGUGCUGGGUGAGGGAGGCUGUCUCUCAUCCACCCAGAUCUCUGCUCAGGGCAGGCUGGCGCCGUGCAGCCCACAGAGAGGGGAAGGAGCUCCAGGUACAGGAGCGAUGGAGCAAGCAGGCAGAGCUACCUGAGGAAGCUUACAAUGCACCUGCCUGCGUCAGUCCGUGCAUGGCGACUUCCCCGAGGAAUGCAAGAUUUGCAUCGGUCAAUACCCACUGGCCCUCCUGCUCUGCCCUCUGCCAGUCCUUCCUGAAGGACCAGUUUGGUGAGCAAACAAAAUUCCAAGCUCAACCACCGGCUGUGUGGAGAUGCAGGAAAACAACAGCCCUGGUCUCCCUUUAGCAUGCAUCUCCAACAUUUACUGUUUAUUUUCUGCCCCAGCGUUACCCAUCUGAGAGGUCUGUGGCUCUCUGUGGUGGGCCACAGAGGCCACACGUGAUUGCUGGUGUCAUGCCGGAGGGCCAGCAGGUGGGAACCAACUCGUUAUCUGUUGUCGUCUCAGCUUGGGAGUGGUUAACCCAGACCGUGGCACAGCAAGGCACGGCGCGUUGGCUGCUACCAAAACGGGGAUUCCUGGAAAAUUCAAGCUGUAAGUAGGCAGCACGCUCUCCUCACUGUAUCUGAAAUACAUUGUACUCACUACGAAUACCAUCAAAGGGAAACCUGAUUUUGUGCCUGCCACACAGCAAGAAUGAAGGGAAAAUAUAAAUUCCGAACAAAAACUGUGAAAGGAGAGGGAGUGGAUAUGCAGGUGAGCAGGAGUGCUCCUGCCCCACUGUGUUGUUCUUUCUCCCAUGUAGAAGUCCAUCUGCAGAUGCUGUGCAGGAACCAGGCAACUCCUCCUCCACAACUUUGGUAAAAACAAAACAAAACAGCGGGAAAGGGACAGGUGCUGAAAAAAGUAGGAGAAGCAGAAAAGGAGUGGGGGAAAAGAUGAAAGAGGAGAAUGGAGGGAGGGAUCAGUUGGGGUAGGUGAUUUCAUGUAGGUGGCAUUAAGGAG